ensembl:lncRNA
AGUCAAUUGAGACGUGCUGCACAGGCGUGGCACCAACAAUGUCCUUGCCAAGAAUACGCCUCAAUUUCACAAAGGCAGGUCAGGAAAUGUGCAGAUUGAAAUGCAAAGCGAGUUUUCAGCGCUGCACAUUUGCAAAUGAUGAGAAUGAUGUGACGCAAAAUCCAAGUUGUGCUGUGUUGUGAAAGCCAAUCAGCGCUGAGAUUCUCCUCCUGUCCUCUGAACAUGGUUGAAUUCACUUGUGGUUGCAACAGUUGAUGAGCAAUCAAGACUGAGACACUGAGGAGACGUCCAAAAAAAUGUAAAUGAUGUAUAUGCAAGUGUCAACA